UCGGUGGUGGUGUAAUCGGCAACACGACAGGUUUUGAUCCUGUUAUUCAAGGUUCGAGUCCUUGCCGCCGAG
rnacentral:tRNA from 1 species